rnacentral:rRNA from 1 species
UACAGAGGGUGCAAGCGUUGUUCGGAAUCAUUGGGCGUAAAGCGCACGUAGGCGGCUUGCUAAGUCAGAUGUGAAAACCCGGGGCUUAACCUCGGACGUGCAUUUGAAACUGGCAAACUUGAAUCUCGGAGAGGGUGGUGGAAUUCCCAGUGUAGAGGUGAAAUUCGUAGAUAUUGGGAGGAACACCGGUGGCGAAGGCGACCACCUGGACGAAGAUUGACGCUGAGGUGCGAAAGCGUGGGGAUCAAACAGG